rnacentral:rRNA from 1 species
GAUGAACGCUAGCGGCAGGCUUAAUACAUGCAAGUCGAGGGGCAGCAUGGUGUAGCAAUACACUGAUGGCGACCGGCAAACGGGUGCGGAACACGUACAGAACCUUCCUUCGAGCGGGGAAUAGCCCAGAGAAAUUUGGAUUAAUACCCCAUAGUAUAUUGGAGUGGCAUCACUUUAGUAUUAAAGAUUUAUCACUUGAAGAUGGCUGUGCGGCUGAUUAGGUAGUUGGCGGGGUAACGGCCCACCAAGCCUGCGAUCAGUAACUGGUGUGAGAGCACGACCAGUCACACGGGCACUGAGACACGGGCCCGACUCCUACGGGAGGCAGCAGUAAGGAAUAUUGGUCAAUGGACGAAAGUCUGAACCAGCCAUGCCGCGUGGAGGAUGAAGGUCCUCUGGAUUGUAAACUUCUUUUAUAUGGGACGAAAAAAGGGCUUUCUAGCUCGUCUGACGGUACCAUAUGAAUAAGCACCGGCUAACUCCGUGCCAGCAGCCG